CCUACGGGAGGCAGCAGUGAGGAAUAUUGGUCAAUGGCCGGAAGGCUGAACCAGCCAUGCCGCGUGAAGGUCAGUGCCCUAUGGGCGUUAAACUUCUUUUGUGCGGGAGCAAUAAUGGUCACGUGUGGCCAGACGAGAGUACCGUACGAAUAAGCAACGGCUAACUCCGUGCCAGCAGCCGCGGUAAUACGGGGGAUGCAAGCGUUAUCCGGAUUUAUUGGGGUUAAAGGGUGCGUAGGCUGUGAGGUAAGUCAGCGGUGAAAUGCCCCGGCUCAACGGGGUGAAGUGCCAUUGAUACUGCCUUGCUGGAAUGCGGAUGCCGUGGGAGGAAUGCGUGGUGUAGCGGUGAAAUGCAUAGAUAUCACACAGAACACCGAUUGCGAAGGCAUCUCACGAAUCCGCGAUUGACGCUGAUGCACGAAAGCGUGGGUAUCAAACAGGAUUAGAUACCCGAGUAGUC
rnacentral:rRNA from 1 species